ensembl:lncRNA
NNNNNNGUGCACCCACACCGGGGAAAGGCAUUGUGACAUCACAGGGCGGGGCGUGACAUCAGCCUUUAUUUAGUCACGCUGGAAGCCUCCCCCAGCUCAGACACGUGGGGCGGUCGCUCCGUCCUGGCAGUCGCUGCUGGAGCUCCCUCUGAGUGACAGCCGCUUGUGUGUUGAGAGUGGUCCUUGGGAGAGAACAGGAUGAAGUUCAGCCUGACUCUCUUCCUGAUCUUACUUGCUUUCAUGUCUCCAAUUCCUGACCUUCCCAGCUGUCUCAGCUGGGACCGGAACUGGGACAAAAAGCUGCUCCUUCCCGAGGAGCAGCAUCCCUUAGAGACCGAGUGCCAGCCCUCCAGCUGGCUCUCCUGGCUUGGUCUAACCACCUGCCCCCUCAAGAUCGAGUAUGGGAACAAAAACCAAGUCCUUCACGAGGAGCAGCGUCCGGUUGAAACCAAGAUCCAGACCACCAUCUGGCUCUGCUGGCUUGGCUUAACCACCUGCUCCACCAAGACGGAGGAUGGGAAAGAAAACCAUGUCCUUCAUGAGGACGUCAGCCCGGUUCAGACCAAGAGCCAAACCUCCAACUGGCUCUGCUCGUUUGGCCUAUCCACUUGCUCCACAAAGAUGGCGGACGCGAAGAAAGACCAGGUCCUCCCCGGGGAGCAGCGCCAAGUUCAGACCAAGAGCCAGACCUCCAACUGGCUCUGCUCGUUUCCCCUAUCCACCUGCUCCACCAAGAUGGAGGAUGGCAAGAAAAACCAGGUCCUCCACGAGGAGCAGCACCCGGUUCAGACCAGGAGCAAGGCCUCUAACUGGAUUUGCUUGUUUGGCCUAUCCACCUGCUCCACCAAGAUGGAGGAUGGCAAGAAAAACCACAACUUUCAUGAGAACCAGCCUACGAUUGAGGCCAAGAGCCAGACCACCAACUGGCUCUGCUGGUUUGGAGUAACGGCCUGCCCAACCAAGAUCGAGGAUGGGAACACCAACCAGGUCCUUCCCAAGGAGCAGCAUCCAGUUGAGUCCAAGAGCCAGCCCUCCAGCUGGCUCAGCUGGUUUAGACAAAACUCCUGCUACACCAAGAUCGAGGACGGGAAGAAAAACAAGGUCUUUCAAGAGGAGCAGAGCCUGGCUGACACCAACAGCCAGACCUCCAACUGGCUCUGCUGGAUUGGACUAAACACCUGUCCAGGAAAUGAAGACAGAAAACUUGUACGUCCCGAAAAGAGGCUGCCCAUUAAUACUGAGCGCCGUGCCUCCAACUGGCCCUUCUGGCUUGGCCUUUCUCCACACCCCAAAUGGGUCCCGAACAGGGUCAGCAAGUCUGUUGUUCCAGAGGGCCCAAACCAGCAGUCCCCGCGCACCAAGCAAAAGGCCUUCAGCGUGCCUGACACCCUGCGCCACCUCUGCGACUUCCUAUUGCAACACCCGGCAGAAUUGAUCGUUCUGGAUUUAUUGGUAGACUGGUUUGCAUUUUGGCUACUAAGGCAUGCCUACCGGCUCUGGAGAGCAACUGGCCCUGCUGGUUUGAACUAACGUCCUGCUCCCUCACGACCGCGGACGCAAAGAAAGGCCAGGUCCUUCACGAGGACCAGCGUCCCAUUGAGUCCAAGUGGAAGCCC